rnacentral:rRNA from 1 species
GGGUUAGUAGGUUGGUCAUGCCUCUGGUAUGUACUGGUCUCACUGAUUCCUCCUUCCUGAUGAACCUUAAUGCCAUUAAUUUGGUGUUUUGGGGAAUUUGGACUGUUACUUUGAAAGAAUUAGAGUGUUUAAAGCAAGCUAACGCUUGAAUACAUUAGCAUGGAGUAAUGAAAUAGGACGUUCGAUCCUAUUUUGCUGGUUUCUAGGAUUGACGUAAUGAUUAAUAGG